rnacentral:rRNA from 1 species
GAUGAACGCUGGCGGCGUGCCUAAUACAUGCAAGUCGAGCGAACGGACGAGAAGCUUGCUUCUCUGAUGUUAGCGGCGGACGGGUGAGUAACACGUGGAUAACCUACCUAUAAGACUGGGAUAACUUCGGGAAACCGGAGCUAAUACCGGAUAAUAUUUUGAACCGCAUGGUUCAAAAGUGAAAGACGGUCUUGCUGUCACUUAUAGAUGGAUCCGCGCUGCAUUAGCUAGUUGGUAAGGUAACGGCUUACCAAGGCAACGAUGCAUAGCCGACCUGGGAGGGUGAUCGGCCACACUGGAACUGAGACACGGUCCAGACUCCUACGGGAGGCAGCAGUAGGGAAUCUUCCGCAAUGGGCGAAAGCCUGACGGAGCAACGCCGCGUGAGUGAUGAAGGUCUUCGGAUCGUAAAACUCUGUUAUUAGGGAAGAACAUAUGUGUAAGUAACUGUGCGCAUCUUGACGGUACCUAAUCAGAAAGCCACGGCUAACUACGUG